rnacentral:rRNA from 1 species
GACGAACGCUGGCGGCGUGCUUAACACAUGCAAGUCGAACGGAAAGGCCCUGCUUUUGUGGGGUGCUCGAGUGGCGAACGGGUGAGUAACACGUGAGUAACCUGCCCUUGACUUUGGGAUAACUUCAGGAAACUGGGGCUAAUACCGGAUAGGAGCUCCUGCUGCAUGGUGGGGGUUGGAAAGUUUCGGCGGUUGGGGAUGGACUCGCGGCUUAUCAGCUUGUUGGUGGGGUAGUGGCCUACCAAGGCUUUGACGGGUAGCCGGCCUGAGAGGGUGACCGGCCACAGUGGGACUGAGAUACGGCCCAGACUCCUACGGGAGGCAGCAGGGGGGAAUAUUGCACAAUGGGCGGAAGCCUGAUGCAGCAACGCCGCGUGCGGGAUGACGGCCUUCGGGUUGUAAACCGCUUUCGCCUGUGACGAAGCGUGAGUGACGGUAAUGGGUAAAGAAGCACCGGCUAACUACGUG